UUACAAAAUUUAAUAAAUAAAUAAAAAUAAGAGUCGUCUUACUGAAUUCGCAGUCGUUCGCAAAAUAGAUGAAUUGUGUGAUUCAAGUGUCAGAUGAGAUUCGCAGUUUAUUUACAAAAUUUAAUAAAUAAAUAAAAAUAAGAGUCGUCUUACUGAAUUCGCUGUCGUUCACAAAAUAGCUGAACUGCCGAUGGUGGAUUUUAGAGAGUUUGAAUUAUAACCGAAUUCAUAUUACAAUGAAUCAAGCAACGGAGUAGGCAUUUACAGUCGAAAAUCACUUCAUUCCUUUCCAUUUUCCAUGAAACAAACAUAC
rnacentral:lncRNA from 1 species